rnacentral:rRNA from 1 species
GACGAACGCUGGCGGCGUGCUUAACACAUGCAAGUCGAACGGUGAAGCGCCUUCCUUUUUGGUGGGUGUGGAUGAGUGGCGAACGGGUGAGUAACACGUGAGUAACCUGCCCCCUUCUUCUGGAUAACCGCAUGAAAGUGUGGCUAAUACGGGAUAUUCUGGGUCUGUCGCAUGAUGGGUCUGGGAAAGAUAUUGUUUCGGUGGGGGAUGGGCUCGCGGCCUAUCAGCUUGUUGGUGGGGUGAUGGCCUACCAAGGCGGUGACGGGUAGCCGGCCUGAGAGGGUGGACGGUCACACUGGGACUGAGACACGGCCCAGACUCCUACGGGAGGCAGCAGUGGGGAAUAUUGCACAAUGGGCGCAAGCCUGAUGCAGCGACGCCGCGUGAGGGAUGGAGGCCGUCGGGUUGUGAACCUCUUUCGCCAGUGAAGCAGGCCUGCCUCGUUUGUGGGUGGGUUGACGGUAGCUGGAUAAGAAGCGCCGGCUAACUACGU